UACGUAGGGGGCUAGCGUUGUCCGGAUUUAUUGGGCGUAAAGAGCGUGUAGGCGGCCAUACAGGUCAGCUGUGAAAACUCGAGGCUCAACCUCGAGACGUCGGUUGAAACCGUAUGGCUAGAGUCCGGAAGAGGAGAGUGGAAUUCCCGGUGUAGCGGUGAAAUGCGCAGAUAUCGGGAAGAACACCCGUGGCGAAGGCGGCUCUCUAGGACGGUACUGACGCUGAGACGCGAAAGCGUGGGGAGCGAACAGG
rnacentral:rRNA from 1 species